AAACGAUUGAAGUCAGUCUUGAUCUUGGUUGUUCAGCCUUCGGGUGUAUUCAAUCUUGAACAGGCCAGCAUCAGUUUCGGAUGUCGGAAAAGGGUGAAGGAAACGUAGCAGCCUCGGCUGUGUUAUAGUCCUACACUUGAUACGACGUCUGGGACUGAGGAACGCAGUGAGCCGUAUGGCGGACCCUCGGGUCUUCUCACUAUGGAUGUUGGCGUAAUGGCUUUAAACGA
rnacentral:rRNA from 1 species